rnacentral:rRNA from 1 species
AGAGCGAACGCUGGCGGCAGGCCUAACACAUGCAAGUCGAGCGCCUGUAGCAAUACGGGAGCGGCAGACGGGAUAGUAACACGUGGGAACGCGCCCUUCGGUUCGGAAUAACUCAGGGAAACUUGAGCUAAUACCGGAUACGCCCUUACGGGGAAAGAUUUAUUGCCGAAGGAACGGCCCGCGUCCGAUUAGCUAGUUGGUGAGGUAAUGGCUCACCAAGGCUCCGAUCGGUAGCUGGUCUGAGAGGAUGACCAGCAUCACUGGGACUGAGACACGGCCCAGACUCCUACGGGAGGCAGCAGUGGGGAAUAUUGGACAAUGGGCGCAAGCCUGAUCCAGCCAUGCCGCGUGGAUGAUGAAGGCCUUAGGGUUGUAAAGUCCUUUAACGGGGAAGAUAAUGACGGUACCCGUAGAAUAAGCCCCGGCUAACUUCGUGCCAGCAGCCGC